UCUCGAACCCCUCCUCUCACGCCGCCUCCGGAUGCAAGCCACCGCCACCAACGGCAUGCGCCCUACCGCCGUCACCCCCAUCGCCUCGCCGCCAUCACCCCCAGGGCCAGCCAUCAACUCCAGCCACGCCCCUGCGAAGCAACCACCGGAUCUAGGGGGUCUGGUUCGACCUCCCUCAUCCGCCCCUGCCCCCUCGGUAGCUACACCAACGACAAUACAUCCGCCCGAGCUCUCCGUGCCUCGCUGGUGGCCAUCCUCUUCCUAUCGGGUCGCCUCCCCUCGAUCCCGGCGAGGCUAAGGUGCUCUCCCCUUUACUUCGACGUUGCAUCAAGAUAGGCCAGGAAGCUCGCCGGCGCCUACUCUCUCCCCAUCUCCCACGAGGUCCUAGUCACUCGUUGCUCGCAAGGGAUGCGGUCCACUAUGUUGAGGUAGUGCAGUACGUUCGGCGUGUAGAGCCCUCCUCCCUCCUCUCUGGCUCGGCCCUCGGCCUCCUGUUGGUCACCACGGCCGGAUCCGUUGCGGCCCUUCCUUGCCUCGCCGCCAUGCGUCAAUCCCGCGGCUUCAGCUAUGACCAUCUACCUCCGCUCGAUGAACUGCAUCGCCGCUGGUGUUGCUGCUCACAUCAGUGUUACUCCAAAAAGAUGAGGUUCAGUUUCCUUGCAUUCUGACGACCACGCCGACGUGUGUGUGCGCGAGUGCAGCUUGCAAAAAGCCCCCAAAAUCAACUAAGUUGUGUGCCGUUCCCAGUUUUCAGAUGGGUGCUACUACCUUCUGCACUGCGUCUUUGAUCCACUGUGGAGGCAAAAAACAAGAAAGGAAACAUUCUUGUUUAGAAGACCACUUGUGAAUUUGAUGUGUUCAAGGGCGAGUUGUACACAUUUGUGCCAUAGAGGGAAACUAGUACUUGUGAACAAAAGUGAACUCGGGCACAGAUGUCCAAGCAGUUUGGGUGUGUAGUUUUUUUUGUGUCUGGAUGCAUUAUUUUUUGACACAUUUCACUCCCUUGCCAUGUGCAGUAAGAGACUACAAAAUAAAAUGCAGUGCACUCUGGUCUACAGUACACCAUUUUUAAAAAUGUAUUUAAAAAGUG